rnacentral:tRNA from 1 species
AUUUAAAUAGUUUAAUAAAAUUAUGAUUUGUGGUAUCAUAGAUGUAGUGUUACUUUAAAUU